GCCAGCAGCCAUAUCACCCUGCAACUCACAACUUGCAAUCCACUGAAGCUAAGUAGGUUUGAGCCCAGUCAGUACCUGGAUGGGAGGCCUCCUGGGAAAAACUAAGGUUGUUGUUGGAC
rnacentral:rRNA from 1 species